rnacentral:rRNA from 1 species
AUUGAACGCUGGCGGCAUGCCUUACACAUGCAAGUCGAACGGUAACAGGCCGCAAGGUGCUGACGAGUGGCGAACGGGUGAGUAAUGCAUCGGAACGUGCCCAGUAGUGGGGGAUAGCCCGGCGAAAGCCGGAUUAAUACCGCAUACGACCUGAGGGUGAAAGGGGGGGAUCGCAAGACCUCUCGCUAUUGGAGCGGCCGAUGUCAGAUUAGCUAGUUGGUGGGGUAAAGGCCUACCAAGGCAACGAUCUGUAGUUGGUCUGAGAGGACGACCAGCCACACUGGGACUGAGACACGGCCCAGACUCCUACGGGAGGCAGCAGUGGGGAAUUUUGGACAAUGGGCGCAAGCCUGAUCCAGCAAUGCCGCGUGCAGGAAGAGGGCCUUCGGGUUGUAAACUGCUUUUGUCAGGGAAGAAAUCUUCUGGGUUAAUACCUCGGGAGGAUGACGGUACCUGAAGAAUAAGCACCGGCUAACUACGUGCCAGCCGCCGCAGUAACAC